UUCCCUAAUUCACUGACCCUAACAGCACCCUUACCCUCCUUCAACAUAACACCACACAGAACGGAAGAAAGGAACGCAUAGACAAAGGGAAGAUGCUGCUGCUUCGCUGCCGUCGUGACCACCGUGACCGCCGCACGAGAGGAUCCCAUGCCACCAUCGUUAGCGUCGCCCAGCCUUACCCGCGCUUCUGUGUUUGCUGUAAGCCGUUCGUGGAGCUGCGAAGAGCAUCAUCGUCGCGCCCAACCCGUUUCGCCGCCGUCGCUGCUAGCGCUCAUCGCAGGAAGCAUUGCCGUCGCCGUCAGAGAUCGGUGUUCCCUCACCGUUGCUGCGUCGCUGUCGAUGAAGCUUCUAUCGCCGCCGUGAAUUGCGAACAGAGGAGAGUGAGAGAGGCCGAAGAUGCGAGAGAGAAGAGGUGAUGAAUGAAGUCGUCCCUGAAGCCUUGGCCGUUGCUACCAGAGGCGUGGAGGAAGGGAGGCAGAACCGCGAGAUAGAGGAUGCACUGUGACUAUCAUUGCUGCUGCGAGUGUGGUCCACCGUGAAGUUGCACGCCGCCAUCGCCAUCGGAAACCACCGUUAGAACUACUACUAUUUUGUUGCCACCGAGGUCGUUGGUGCUUGUCAAGAGUGCUAUUCUGGUUCUGAAUUGAUUAGUUCAUGCCACUGCUGCUGCUGAGAAGUGAUCAGAAAUGCCGCUGCUGUUAGUUCGGUUCAAGGUUGCUGUUACCACUGCGAAUUAAAAAUAAAAGAAGGCUUUGUUGCGUUUGAUUAUCGAAUUUCGGCUAGUCGAGGUAGGGGAUUUAACGUUUUUAAUUUAGAAUGCCUACAAAGUUAUUGGAUAAGUGCAAAUGGUUAAUAAUAGUUAAGAAUUUCUUAAUUGAUAAGAAUGACUUGAAAUGUGUUUGAGAAUGGUUAGCUAUUGUGAUUUUUCUGAGUUAUGAUUUGAAUUAAAUGUGGCUGUGAUUACUUUGAAUUAUAAUUGAAAUUAGAUGCGGUUGUGAAAUGUGGCUGAAUUAUUGAUUCUGCGAUGAAUUGGUUGAGAUUCUGAUUUUGAGUGAAUUAUUGACUUGUUUGAUGUUGAAGGGGAUAUUUGAUGAAUGGGAAUGGCUGUGAAGUUUACUUGUAACUAGUUGAGAUUGGUUUUGGUGGUUAUUGAAGGAUUGGGACUAAGAGAUUAAACUGUUUUGAGAACCUGUGAUUUUCUGAAAUAAUAUAGUAAAUUUUAAGAGUAUCUAAAUAAUUUUGUAAUGGUUAGACUAAUUCUCUGUGUCAUGAUUUAUUGAUUCUGACUUGGCUGUGAUUGUGGCCGGUUCCACUGUUGUAAGUGAUUGAUUUGAUGAUUGUGCGUACUGAAUGUGGUAAGGGAUAGAAUAAAUGGUGUUACUUUUGUUGCUGAGCUUGCUGGUGUGAAUUGAUGAGUUAUUGUGUGUUUGAAUGAUGAUGAGUGUAUAUGGAAAAUUACGCUUGGCAUAGUGUAGAAAAGAAAAGGUUUGAUGAUGCUUAAGUACUUGAUAUCGUGUGAAUUAUUGAUUCUGGGUUCUUGGGCUGUGUUGGCAAUGAAGAAAAUUUUGAACAAUUGGAAAGAGGUUAAACGUGUGAUUUUGGAAGGGUUAUAAGUUCAAAUGUGGUUUUUGACAAAUAAGGUUGUUGAAAAUGCUUAAGGCAGAAAUUCUGCAUACAUGACAGUAGAAAGAAUCAAUUUCUGGGAGCAUCCCAGGUCAUAUACUUGAAUGAAGCUAUUUUUGCAUGAAACUUUACUGUGUUUUGAGCAUCUCAUAAAAAAUUCAGAAUUUAUUGAUGAGUAUUUUGGGAGAAAUGAAUUUUUGAAGAUUGAUGGUUUCUGCAGAAAAUUCUGUUUCUUUACUGCAGAAGCACCAACUUCCAACUCACUUAACUUUCAAUUCUGGUAAGUAUUUGAGCUGAAACUAACGGCAUUUUCAAACUUCCUGUGUCCACAAUCUUCAUUUUAAAUUUCAUAUCAAUAUCCUAUUUAACCAAGUAGAUAUGUUGAAAAGAGUAUGGAUAACUCACUGGAUUUUGGAAACCGAAUUCUAAAAGGCCUGGCUGUGUUUCUCACUUCAUAACUUUUUCAUAUGACAUGGUAUUAAUCUGGAAGUUGAUUCAAUAAAAAGCUAAAAGAGUCUUGUUUUAGAUCGUGAAUUUUGAAAGGCAUUGGGUGAAAACUGGAUUUUUAAGGAAUUUAUCAAACUUACUACUUGCUGCUGUUUUUCUGCAUUUUCUUAGGAAACAAUAACAGAAUUUUAAGAGAGAUGGUACAAGUUUUUAUUGUGACCAAAUUACCUCAACACCAAGUUUCUUGGAAUACUAGUUUAUUGAGUUUAAUUUUGAAAGAAUCCUAUGAUAAAUGAAAGUUAGUUACGAAUUGAUGAGGUGAAAGUUGAAUUGAUGGGUUAUGUGGGAAUUGUGGGUUAUGACUGAACUGUUGGCUAUUGUAAAUUGUGAAUUUUCUGACUAAUUUGAGAACCUCUUAUUUGGUAAUUGUUGAAAAAGGGCUGUGAUUUGUUGAGAAAGAGGGAACCCGUAAGGGUGGCUAAGUCCGAGUUUUAGGGGAGGUGCUGCCGAAAUUUUGUAAAAUCUGAGGUUUGUACAACAUGAUUGAAUAAAGAAAGAGAGAGAUGUUGUGUAAGAAUAUGUAACUAGAAAUGAAUAAUGAGAAUGAUAACUUAUGAUAAUAAUUACACAGAUUCUUUUGAGGAAAGGUAUUUAGUUUAUGAGAUUGUUGGCAAGGACGUGGGUUUUGUCCCGCUUGCUUAUUUAUGAUUAUAAAAGAGAAUAAAAAGCAGAGCACCUGUUGAAAGGUCAUUUGUUGCUUGAGGCAACCCAUGAGAUGUGUUUAUUCAUUUGUUGCAUUAAGGCAACUCCAGAUAUACUUGUAUGAUCAUCUGCUGCAGUGAGGCAGUCAGAUAGAUAAUGGUAUGAUUACUGAGAACGCUUUCCUACGGUACAGAUCCAAUUUUAUUUCUGUAAGGCAGAGGGGUUAUUUCCUGCUACAGAAGUACCGUGACCACCUGUUCCAUUUCUGUAGUGGCAGAGGGGUUAUUUCCUGUAUACAGAAGGUGUGUCGGCGUACAUCCCUGCAGUGGCAGAUGUGUUAUUUCCUGCGUGCAGUGGACCCUGUGGUGGCAGAGGGGUUAUUUCCUGUACACAGGGGUAUAGCCAAUAGGAAAGCCUUAUCCAGACAGAGGUUGCUGGAUAAUGUCGGGAGCGGGUUAGCAACCGACAGAUGAGCUCAUUACCUGCACUAGGGCUAGACAUGCAUCAUCCUUGUGUGUGCAUUUGCAUUUGAUUGGGUUUGCUCGUUGUACUUCCCUGUGCUUGUGCCGUUUGCCUUGCUGUAAUUUGUUUGUGUGAUGAAUUGAGUUUCUUGCUUGUGCUAGUAGUUUGUGAAUGGAUGAAGAUGAUUACUAUAUGUUGUUAUGACUGAGAAUCAAUUAUGUGGCUGAUAGAUAUUUAAUAUGACAAGUUUUGCGAUUGAGAUCUGUUUUGGGUUUUGGAAUUUAAAGAAAGUAAUUAUUUAUCUAAGGUAAGAUUAAGAAGUAUUUCAAAAGGGUUUGACAAAAAUGAUUUAUUAAGUAAAGUUAAUUAUUUGCAUGUUAAUCAUUACUUUUACGGCAUUCCCAUUCCCUACUGAGAACGUGUGGUUUGUUCUCACCCCAAAAUUCUUCCACCCUUUCAGUGACGCAGGUUUGAAGACCCAAUUUAAAGCUGCGGGAGAUUAUAGAAUUUACUUACGAGUUAAGUUACUUUCAUAGAAGUUCCCUCGCUCUUAUUGCUUAACAUUUUUAUUUUAUACAGAGGGAUAGAAUUUGUAUGUGAGUUUUAUUUGAAAUCUUUUGUAUGACAGAUAUUAUUAUUAAUAAUUAUAUGAUUA